GCUCCUAACUACACAUUGAGCCAAACUAUAAUAAUAGCAGACCCCAUGCUAAAACUAGUAACAAGAAAACUUCUCUACCGCACCCCUGUGCAUCAGUAAUAGAAAACCUGCUGACAAUUAACAGACUAAAACAAGCCUAAAUAACACGUAUAACACCAAACUGUCACACCAACACCGGUGUGCCACAAAGAAAGAUUAAAAGUCGUAGAAGGAACUCAGCAAAACACUGUCCCAACUGUUUACCAAAAACAUAGCCUUUAGCAAUAUUAGUAUUAAAGGUCCCGCCUGCCCAGUGAAAUUAUUUCAACGGCCGCGGUAUUCUAACCGUGCAAAGGUAGCGUAAUCAUUUGUCUCCCAAAUAGAGACCAGUAUGAAUGGCUAAAUGAGGACAGACCUGUCUCCUACAACUAAUCAGUGAAACUGAUCUCCCAGUACAAAAGCUGGCAUGCCCACAUAAGACGAGAAGACCCUGUGGAGCUUAAAAUAAACUACUAACAGCCCUAAGCUAUCUAGUAUAAAAUUUUAAGUUGGGGCGACUUCGGAACAAAACAAAACUUCCGAGCACAGAACCACCAGUUCUUACUUAGGCCUACGAGCCCAAACAAAAGCCGACCCAGUCAUACUGACCAACGAACCAAGUUACCCCAGGGAUAACAGCGCAAUCUUCUUCAAGAGCCCCUAUCGACAAGAAGGUUUACGACCUCGAUGUUGGAUCAGGACACCCCGAUGGUGCAACCGCUAUUAAAGGUUCGUUUGUUCAACGAUUAAUAGU
rnacentral:rRNA from 1 species